rnacentral:rRNA from 1 species
AAUCAACGCUGGCGGCGUGCCUAACACAUGCAAGUCGAACGCGAAAGGGACUUCGGUUCCUGAGUAGAGUGGCGUAACGGGUGAGUAACGCGUGGGUCAUCUGCCCUCGGGUGGGAAUAACUAAUCGAAAGGUUAGCUAAAUACCGCAUAACACAGUGAUGUCAAAGCAGCAAUGUGCCUGAGGAGGAGCCUGCGUCUGAUUAGGUAGUUGGU